AGCUCCGGUGUCUUAGUGGUUAGAGCUUCCGCCUUGUAUGCGGGAGGUUGCGAGUUCGAACUCCCACCGAGUCU